AGAACACCCUGUACAUUUAGAGUGAAGUUAGUUACGUUACGAAUUAAGCUAGGUUAGGAUUGGUGAGUCGGUUUGGUUUAUCUUUUAUGACUUUAUGUUUUAUGUAAACUUAUGUAAAGGAGUGGAAAUAUAUAUAAUCAACAAUAAAGACGACUACAGCCAUCAGAAGUGGGAUAGUGGAAAACGUAUUGUAAGUCCGGAUUCUUAAAAAUAAAAGGCCAAAUUUAGGAUGUUGGGUGAUGAAAGUGGACACAUGGCAAGAGGCGGUGGCGAUCCAGAUACAUCUGUGAACGAGGAGCAAAAGCGACAGAAUCGACGGUUAGGAUUGGAGUGGUAAUAUAUAUAAUCAACAAUAAAGACGACUACACAGCAAACAUUUACGGUGCGAUGCUUUCGUAAUCUCAUUAUAAACCAGACGGAAACCACGUUGGUGCUCUCCAGAUGGCGCAGAGAGCGUUUCCCUUUCUAAAACGUUCGUGAUUGCCAGCUCUCAAAAAUGUGUUCAUCGUCGCCGCUGUAUAUACAGGGUGGAACCUCUCAAUGUAUUUAAAACCAAAGGCAAAACCGAGCCGAGGAAAACUCCGAAUCACUUGCUCACAGGGGAUAAAUAUUGGGGGAAAUCUGGAGAAAGGGAGGUAAUUGGUCGAACCUCCUCCAAUCCAGAAUCUAUUUAAUUUACUUGAUAUGGCAACUCUUAGACUAAAGUAAUAUUUCGAGAUGAAUGCGGAGCUUUGCAACUUUGGCAUUUACCUUUGCACGGGCGAGAAACAGUUAAUUACGUUAAAUAAGUAAGGCAGAUUCGUACACCAAUAAAGUUUGAAGUCGCCCAUUUACCUAAAUGAGUAAACAUCAAAUGAAAUUAACAAGAGGCCAAUGCUGAACAAACCUAAUUGGUAGAUAAUUUAAAGUGAAAAAAGCAAAUACACCUUAGUUACACGCAGCUGAAGGCAAAACAAUUUACAAUAAAGCGAAAAAUUACAAUCAGGGCCGGUUUUAGGCGUGGGCGAACGCCACAGGCGGCCGUCCGCAAGUGUGGCCCGCCGCGCGAUGGCAAGUUACUGGUUUCCAACGUAUACAGAAACGCUGCGAGUGGUUAUCGACACCUGCCGACAAAUUUAUUACUUUGAAUC